CACGUAGGUGGUCCGCUAAGUCGGAUGUGAAAUUCCCCGGCUCAACCGGGGAACGGCAAUCGAUACUGGCGGGCUUGAGGUCCGGAGGGGUGAGUGGAACUCCUGGUGGAGCGGUGAAAUGCGUAGAUAUCAGGAGGAACACCAGUGGCGAAAGCGGCUCACUGGCCGGAAUCUGACACUGAGGUGCGAAAGCUAGGGUAGCAAACG
rnacentral:rRNA from 1 species